rnacentral:rRNA from 1 species
UACGUAGGGUGCAAGCGUUAAUCGGAAUUACUGGGCGUAAAGCGUGCGCAGGCGGUUUUGUAAGUCUGUCGUGAAAUCCCCGGGCUCAACCUGGGAAUUGCGAUGGAGACUGCAAGGCUAGAAUCUGGCAGAGGGGGUAGAAUUCCACGUGUGAGCAGUGAAAUGCGUAGAGAUGUGGAGGAACACCGAUGGCGAAGGCAGCCCCCUGGGUCAAGAUUGACGCUCAUGCACGAAAGCGUGGGGAGCAAACAGG